AGAUAACUGUUAAGACUAAACAGUGAGCAAGGGUGAACAGUGAAUGGAGACAUCAACAUCAACUGCAACGUGAUGUUUAUGUGACAUUCGCACAGAUGUACGUAAAUUGCACUCACAUACACACACAUAGUCAAACAAGUUCAGUGUGUGUUCAACAGCCCCCACCCUUUAGGUUGGACACACCUAUGUAGUAGCUUUCCCAAUAAAUGAGGAGGUGAAGGGGGAGAUCGUCAGGGUUACGUGCCGAGAACUGAAACCGAACGCUUCUCCUCGUUCCCUCCUGGUA